GGUGAAAAGCACCCCGGAAGGGGAGUGAAAUAGAACCUGAAACCGUGUGCUUACAAGUAGUCAGAGCCCGUUAAUGGGUGAUGGCGUGCCUUUUGUAGAAUGAACCGGCGAGUUACGAUUUGAUGCAAGGUUAAGCAGUAAAUGUGGAGCCGUAGCGAAAGCGAGUCUGAAUAGGGCGUUUAGUAUUUGGUCGUAGACCCGAAACCAGGUGAUCUACCCUUGGUCAGGUUGAAGUUCAGGUAACACUGAAUGGAGGACCGAACCGACUUACGUUGAAAAGUGAGCGGAUGAACUGAGGGUAGCGGAGAAAUUCCAAUCGAACCUGGAGAUAGCUGGUUCUCUCCGAAAUAGCUUUAGGGCUAGCCUCAAGUGAUGAUUAUUGGAGGUAGAGCACUGUUUGGACGAGGGGCCCCUCUCGGGUUACCGAAUUCAGACAAACUCCGAAUGCCAAUUAAUUUAACUUGGGAGUCAGAACAUGGGUGAUAAGGUCCGUGUUCGAAAGGGAAACAGCCCAGACCACCAGCUAAGGUCCCAAAAUAUAUGUUAAGUGGAAAAGGAUGUGGCGUUGCCCAGACAACUAGGAUGUUGGCUUAGAAGCAGCCAUCAUUUAAAGAGUGCGUAAUAGCUCACUAGUCGAGUGACACUGCGCCGAAAAUGUACCGGGGCUAAACAUAUUACCGAAGCUGUGGAUUGUCCUUUGGACAAUGGUAGGAGAGCGUUCUAAGGGCGUUGAAGCAUGAUCGUAAGGACAUGUGGAGCGCUUAGAAGUGAGAAUGCCGGUGUGAGUAGCGAAAGACGGGUGAGAAUCCCGUCCACCGAUUGACUAAGGUUUCCAGAGGAAGGCUCGUCCGCUCUGGGUUAGUCGGGUCCUAAGCUGAGGCCGACAGGCGUAGGCGAUGGAUAACAGGUUGAUAUUCCUGUACCACCUAUAAUCGUUUUAAUCGAUGGGGGGACGCAGUAGGAUAGGCGAAGCGUGCGAUUGGAUUGCACGUCUAAGCAGUAAGGCUGAGUAUUAGGCAAAUCCGGUACUCAUUAAGGCUGAGCUGUGAUGGGGAGAAGACAUUGUGUCUUCGAGUCGUUGAUUUCACACUGCCGAGAAAAGCCUCUAGAUAGAAAAUAGGUGCCCGUACCGCAAACCGACACAGGUAGUCAAGAUGAGAAUUCUAAGGUGAGCGAGCGAACUCUCGUUAAGGAACUCGGCAAAAUGACCCCGUAACUUCGGGAGAAGGGGUGCUCUUUAGGGUUAACGCCCAGAAGAGCCGCAGUGAAUAGGCCCAAGCGACUGUUUAUCAAAAACACAGGUCUCUGCUAAACCGUAAGGUGAUGUAUAGGGGCUGACGCCUGCCCGGUGCUGGAAGGUUAAGAGGAGUGGUUAGCUUCUGCGAAGCUACGAAUCGAAGCCCCAGUAAACGGCGGCCGUAACUAUAACGGUCCUAAGGUAGCGAAAUUCCUUGUCGGGUAAGUUCCGACCCGCACGAAAGGCGUAACGAUUUGGGCACUGUCUCAACGAGAGACUCGGUGAAAUCAUAGUACCUGUGAAGAUGCAGGUUACCCGCGACAGGACGGAAAGACCCCGUGGAGCUUUACUGUAGCCUGAUAUUGAAAUUCGGCACAGCUUGUACAGGAUAGGUAGGAGCCUUUGAAACGUGAGCGCUAGCUUACGUGGAGGCGCUGGUGGGAUACUACCCUAGCUGUGUUGGCUUUCUAACCCGCACCACUUAUCGUGGUGGGAGACAGUGUCAGGCGGGCAGUUUGACUGGGGCGGUCGCCUCCUAAAAGGUAACGGAGGCGCUCAAAGGUUCCCUCAGAAUGGUUGGAAAUCAUUCAUAGAGUGUAAAGGCAUAAGGGAGCUUGACUGCGAGACCUACAAGUCGAGCAGGGUCGAAAGACGGACUUAGUGAUCCGGUGGUUCCGCAUGGAAGGGCCAUCGCUCAACGGAUAAAAGCUACCCCGGGGAUAACAGGCUUAUCUCCCCCAAGAGUUCACAUCGACGGGGAGGUUUGGCACCUCGAUGUCGGCUCAUCGCAUCCUGGGGCUGUAGUCGGUCCCAAGGGUUGGGCUGUUCGCCCAUUAAAGCGGUACGCGAGCUGGGUUCAGAACGUCGUGAGACAGUUCGGUCCCUAUCCGUCGUGGGCGUAGGAAAUUUGAGAGGAGCUGUCCUUAGUACGAGAGGACCGGGAUGGACAUACCUCUGGUGUACCAGUUGUCGUGCCAACGGCAUAGC
rnacentral:rRNA from 1 species